rnacentral:rRNA from 1 species
AGUUGAUUCUGCUAGUAGUCAUAUGCUUGUCUCAAAGAUUAA